rnacentral:rRNA from 1 species
UACGAAGGGGGCUAGCGUUGCUCGGAAUCACUGGGCGUAAAGGGCGCGUAGGCGGCCGAUCAAGUCAGAGGUGAAAGCCCAAGGCUCAACCUUGGAAUUGCCUUUGAUACUGUUCGGCUCGAGACCGGAAGAGGUAAGUGGAACUGCGAGUGUAGAGGUGAAAUUCGUAGAUAUUCGCAAGAACACCAGUGGCGAAGGCGGCUUACUGGGCCGGUUCUGACGCUGAGGCGCGAAAGCGUGGGGAGCAAACAGG